rnacentral:lncRNA from 10 species
AAGGAAAAGAAACAAAAGAAAAUUUGAAAGGGGUGAUGUUCCAACAUAUCAAGUUCAUGAAGGGACAUAAUUAUGCUGUUAUGUGAAAGAAUCAACUCUGUGUGCUCAGCAGACCAUCCAGACACAUCCUAAGCAUUGUGUCUCCGAAGUAGAUCAGUUUAGCUGUGACAUCCUAUAGCAGUAUCUCUAUUAUGUGUCCUGUUCUAUUCAUCAGCAUCUCAACCGAAAAGAAACUCCUGGAGGACAUGCUCCUUGAAAAUAAGAAAGUAAAUGAAAAAAGAAGAUAUUGGGAGAGCAGAAUCAAGAGCUCCAACAAAAGACCUGCCAAAGAACUUCUGGGUUAUAAUAGCAAGUCUUUCCCAUUAAAGCUACUGGCAGAGAUGCCCAAAAUAUUCCUGAUUGAUUGAAGCCUCAUUUGCUAGUUCCUCACUUUCGGGAACACUAAAUUCCUUUGCAAAUUAAAAACAAACACA